AGAGUUUGAUCCUGGCUCAGGACGAACGCUGGCGGCGUGCUUCAUACAUGCAAGUCGAACGAGAAGUUACCUUCGGGUAAUGGACAGUGGCGGACGGGUGAGUAAUGUGUAGAGAAUCUGCCCUUGAGCGGGGGACAACAGCUGGAAACGGUUGCUAAUACCCCAUAUGAUGCCGGUUGUGAUACCGGUAUUGAAAACUCCGGUGCUCAAGGAUGAGUCUGCAUCUGAUUAGCUAGUUGGGGGUGUAAUGGACCACCAAGGCGACGAUCAGUAGCUGGUUUGAGAGGAUGAUCAGCCACAAUGGGACUGAGACACGGCCCAUACUCCUACGGGAGGCAGCAGUAGGGAAUUUUGCGCAAUGGGGGCAACCCUGACGCAGCAACGCCGCGUGAUUGAUUAAGCCCUUCGGGGUGUAAAGAUCUGUCAGUGGGGACGAAAUAUGACGGUACCCACAGAGGAAGCACCGGCUAACUCCGUGCCAGCAGCCGCGGUAAUACGGAGGGUGCAAGCGUUGUCCGGAAUCAUUGGGCGUAAAGAGUUCGUAGGUGGCAUGUAAAGUCUGGUGUUAAAGGCAGAAGCUCAACUUCUGUAGGGCACUGGAUACUUGCAAGCUGGAAUGCGGUAGAGGUAAAGGGAAUUCCUGGUGUAGCGGUGAAAUGCGUAGAUAUCAGGAGGAACAUCGGUGGCGUAAGCGCUUUACUGGGCCGUAAUUGACACUGAGGAACGAAAGCCGGGGUAGCAAAUGGGAUUAGAUACCCCAGUAGUCCCGGCCGUAAACGAUGGAUACUAGGUGUUGCGGGUAUCGACCCCUGCAGUGCCGCAGCUAACGCGUUAAGUAUCCCGCCUGGGGAGUACGCACGCAAGUGUG
rnacentral:rRNA from 1 species